rnacentral:rRNA from 1 species
UACGUAGGGUCCAAGCGUUGUCCGGAAUUAUUGGGCGUAAAGAGCUCGUAGGCGGUGUGUCGCGUCGGAUGUGAAAAGCCCCGGGGGCUUAACCCCCGGGUCUGCAUUCGGUACGGGCAUGCUGGAGUUCGGUAGGGGGAGACUGGAAUUCCUGGUGUAGCGGUGAAAUGCGCAGAUAAUCAGGAGGAACACCGGUGGCGA